CAUCUUAGUCUGAUCUGAGGAAAGUCCCCGGAACUGCAAAAGAAAGUUAACUCUGUAAAAGGAGCAGAAUCUUUUUAACUACGAGGAGGCUUCUGCUGAGUAUAGUUAAAAAGGCAACUCUUAUUCAUAUCAAAGUUAUGUAGUUGCUGAAAGUUCAGUAACAGAAUGGGGCUCACUCUCC
rnacentral:RNase_MRP_RNA from 1 species